rnacentral:rRNA from 1 species
AUUGAACGCUGGCGGCAUGCCUAACACAUGCAAGUCGAACGGUAACAGGGGGCUUCGGCCCGCUGACGAGUGGCGGACGGGUGAGUAAUACGUAGGAAUCUACCUUUUAGUGGGGGAUAAACUUAGGGAAACUUAAGCUAAUACCGCAUAAUCACUACGGUGGAAAGCAGGGGCUCGCAAGACCUUGCGCUGAUAGAUGAGCCUACGUCGGAUUAGCUUGUUGGUAGGGUAAAGGCCUACCAAGGCGACGAUCCGUAGCUGGUCUGAGAGGACGACCAGCCACACUGGGACUGAGACACGGCCCAGACUCCUACGGGAGGCAGCAGUGGGGAAUAUUGGACAAUGGGGGCAACCCUGAUCCAGCAAUGCCGCGUGUGUGAAGAAGGCC